rnacentral:lncRNA from 1 species
AUGGGUCAGGAUGAGGAACACGACUCUUUCAGCAUCAGGUUUGAGCAGAAAAUAGGACAAGAACGUUGCCCGAACCACGAGAUGACGAGCCACCCCCUUCCUGGCCGACAGCACGAGGCUGCCGCUCCUCCACGCGGGACCUCAGAGGGUCAGUCCCCUCCCCUGCUGCCAGGCCGCAUCCUGCCCGAGGCCACCAGGCCACCAGCGCCCCAGCCCGGCCUGCGGGGCCACAUCUUCCUCACGCAGCAGAGAGGCCUUGAGCGUUCAGCCCCCAGUUCCCAGGCCGCGGGGACACAGGGCCUGCCACGGUCCCUGCGGGGCAAGGUCAAGCCUCGGGCGCGGGCCUUCCGCUGCGCAUUCCCGGGGAUGUUCCCCGUCGGGCCGCGCCAGCCGUGGGGGACAGCACGGUGCAGCCUGGCCCCGGGGCCCCCAGGGGUGCCAGCACCAGGGCUGAUGGGCCCGCGGGGAGGAGAGGGGUGGGGGGAAGCUGCUGGAUUGGCGGCGGCGCGGCCGCGGGGUCUGGCGGCUGUUUGGAAGCCCUGCCACGGGGGACCCACCGCGAAGGCUGCCCCAAGCUUGGACAGCGAGCAGCGUCCAUUGGGACACGGACCCCCCCUCCCCCCGGGCAGAGUCCGGGCCGCGGGCUGCGCCUGCCGAGGAAGCUUCCACGGGAGCAGGAACAGAUCCGCACUCCCGGGAGCCGGAGACCUCGGCGCUGCUGCCAGGGCCCUGCACGCCUCAGCCGCUCCCCUCGGCCGUGUGCGGCCUUGUCCUCGGUCGGUCGCCCUGACGGCCGGGCUGCUCCGUGGGUCACCUGGGGAGGUCUCCGCGGAGCUGCGUAAACCCGGCGAGAGGCUCCAGCCGCACCCGCCUGGGUCUGAGGCCACUGUCGAGCGACGGGCGCGACGUAACCGUGUGCAAGACGGGCGUGUGUGCCCGGAGCCGGACGGGCCGCUCUCGGGCUUGGCCGCACUAAGUGGGCAACGGCGCCCUUCUCGGCCUCCCGUCCCCGUCCUGUAA